CUCGAUUCCAAGACUUUAGCCGGGAAUCUCUAUAGACUGUAGGCAUGGCAAAGCGUGGGGAAUUGCUCACAAAGAUGUUGGCUAGGAUAGAGUAAGAACAUAGACCGGUCUUUGAUUUCUUUCAACCUGAGUUCACUUAUCAGUGUCCUGCUGUUUUCACUUAUCAGUGUCCUGCUGUUUUCACUUCUAUCAACUAAUAGAUGUCCUCUUCAGGCUCUCUGAUUUUAGUAAAACAAAACUAUAUGACAUGCAAAAGAUGAAGAAACAGAAAGAAAGGGAAGAUGUGUGAACUGAAUAUAAAUCUUGGCAAAUUUGGAGGAAAAAUUGGUGGUGGAAGUCCAAAGAGCAGAGGGAAACAUAAGCUAGAGGAGAGAGUCUUCAAAUCAAUUGUAGUGUAUUUCAAGAGUAGUGUUCUUGAUAGCAUUUGCUACAUUUUUGUUCUUGAAGAACUAACGACAGAGAUAAGAAAAUUACCAAUUACGGUAAGACCAAGAUCUGAGGAGAAAUUGGAGGAGGCAAAGAGAGUAGAUGACAAAAGAGAAGAGGCAACAAAAGGAAAGGAAAGUAAUUGUGGUAACGAAAAGUGAGAAAUAAAAAUUACUAUAACACCAUGUAUUCUAUAAUGGACCUAUAAUUUAGAGUUAUAAUAAGUAACUAAG